rnacentral:rRNA from 1 species
UGGGGAAUAUUGGACAAUGGGGGCAACCCUGAUCCAGCAAUGCCGCGUGUGUGAAGAAGGCCUUCGGGUUGUAAAGCACUUUCGGUGGGGACAAACAAGGCGGAGCUAACAUCUCCGUCCCUGAUGGUACCCAAAGAAGAAGCACCGGCUAACUCUGUGCCAGCAGCCGCGGUAAUACAGAGGGUGCAAGCGUUAAUCGGAAUUACUGGGCGUAAAGCGUGCGUAGGUGGUUUGUUAAGUCAGGUGUGAAAUCCUCGGGCUCAACCCGGGAACUGCGCUUGAUACUGACAGACUCGAGUGUGGUAGAGGAUAGUGGAAUUCCCGGUGUAGCGGUGAAAUGCGUAGAUAUCGGGAGGAACAUCAGUGGCGAAGGCGGCUAUCUGGACCAACACUGACACUGAGGUACGAAAGCGUGGGUAGCAAACAGG